UACGUAGGGGGCAAGCGUUAUCCGGAAUUACUGGGUGUAAAGGGUGAGUAGGCGGCAUGGUAAGCCAGAUGUGAAAGCCUUGGGCUUAACCCGAGGAUUGCAUUUGGAACUAUCAAGCUAGAGUACAGGAGAGGAAAGCGGAAUUCCUAGUGUAGCGGUGAAAUGCGUAGAUAUUAGGAGGAACACCAGUGGCGAAGGCGGCUUACUGGACGGCAACUGACGCUGAGGCUCGAAAGCGUGGGGAGCAAACAGG
rnacentral:rRNA from 1 species